GACGAACGCUGGCGGCGUGCCUAACACAUGCAAGUCGAGCGGGGAGGAGGAAGCUUGCUUCCGAAUCCUAGCGGCGGACGGGUGAGUAACGCGUGAGCAACCUGCCUCAAACAGGGGGAGUAACGCAUCGAAAGAUGUGCUAAUACCGCGUAAGACCACAGCACCGCAUGGUGCAGGGGUCAAAGGAGUAAUCCGGUUUGAGAUGGGCUCGCGUCCGAUUAGCUAGUUGGUGAGAUAACGGCCCACCAAGGCGACGAUCGGUAGCCGACCUGAGAGGGUGAUCGGCCACAUUGGAACUGAGAAACGGUCCAGACUCCUACGGGGAGGCAGCAGUGGGGGAAUAUUGGGGCAAUGGGGCGAAAAGCCUGACCCAGCGACGCCGUGUGAGGGAGUGAAGGGUCUUCGGAUUGUAAACCUUUGUAGACAGGGAAGAAGAAAGUGACGGUAGCCAAGGAGGAAGCACGGCUAACUACGUG
rnacentral:rRNA from 1 species